rnacentral:rRNA from 1 species
AUUGAACGCUGGCGGCAGGCCUAACACAUGCAAGUCGAACGGUAACAGGAAGCAGCUUGCUGCUUUGCUGACGAGUGGCGGACGGGUGAGUAAUGUCUGGGAAACUGCCUGAUGGAGGGGGAUAACUACUGGAAACGGUAGCUAAUACCGCAUAACGUCGCAAGACCAAAGAGGGGGACCUUCGGGCCUCUUGCCAUCGGAUGUGCCCAGAUGGGAUUAGCUAGUAGGUGGGUAACGGCUCACCUAGGCGACGAUCCCUAGCUGGUCUGAGAGGAUGGACCAGCCACACUGGAACUGAGACACGGUCCAGACUCCUACGGGAGGCAGCAGUGGGGAAUAUUGCACAAUGGGCGCAAAGCCUGAUGCAGCCAUGCCGCGUGUAUGAAGAAGGCCUUCGGUUGUAAAGUACUUUCAGCGGGAGGAGGAGUAAGUAAUACUUACUCAUUGACGUUACCCG